rnacentral:rRNA from 1 species
CCAAACCGACACAGGUGGUCAGGUAGAGAAUACCAAGGCGCUUGAGAGAACUCGGGUGAAGGAACUAGGCAAAAUGGUGCCGUAACUUCGGGAGAAGGCACGCUGAUAUGUAGGUGAAGUCCCUCGCGGAUGGAGCUGAAAUCAGUCGAAGAUACCAGCUGGCUGCAACUGUUUAUUAAAAACACAGCACUGUGCAAACACGAAAGUGGACGUAUACGGUGUGACGCCUGCCCGGUGCCGGAAGGUUAAUUGAUGGGGUCAGCGCAAGCGAAGCUCUUGAUCGAAGCCCCGGUAAACGGCGGCCGUAACUAUAACGGUCCUAAGGUAGCGAAAUUCCUUGUCGGGUAAGUUCCGACCUGCACGAAUGGCGUAAUGAUGGCCAGGCUGUCUCCACCCGAGACUCAGUGAAAUUGAACUCGCUGUGAAGAUGCAGUGUACCCGCGGCAAGACGGAAAGACCCCGUGAACCUUUACUAUAGCUUGACACUGAACAUUGAGCCUUGAUGUGUAGGAUAGGUGGGAGGCUUUGAAGUGUGGACGCCAGUCUGCAUGGAGCCGACCUUGAAAUACCACCCUUUAAUGUUUGAUGUUCUAACGUUGACCCGUAAUCCGGGUUGCGGACAGUGUCUGGUGGGUAGUUUGACUGGGGCGGUCUCCUCCUAAAGAGUAACGGAGGAGCACGAAGGUUGGCUAAUCCUGGUCGGACAUCAGGAGGUUAGUGCAAUGGCAUAAGCCAGCUUGACUGCGAGCGUGACGGCGCGAGCAGGUGCGAAAGCAGGUCAUAGUGAUCCGGUGGUUCUGAAUGGAAGGGCCAUCGCUCAACGGAUAAAAGGUACUCCGGGGAUAACAGGCUGAUACCGCCCAAGAGUUCAUAUCGACGGCGGUGUUUGGCACCUCGAUGUCGGCUCAUCACAUCCUGGGGCUGAAGUAGGUCCCAAGGGUAUGGCUGUUCGCCAUUUAAAGUGGUACGCGAGCUGGGUUUAGAACGUCGUGAGACAGUUCGGUCCCUAUCUGCCGUGGGCGCUGGAGAACUGAGGGGGGCUGCUCCUAGUACGAGAGGACCGGAGUGGACGCAUCACUGGUGUUCGGGUUGUCAUGCCAAUGGCACUGCCCGGUAGCUAAAUGCGGAAGAGAUAAGUGCUGAAAGCAUCUAAGCACGAAACUUGCCCCGAGAUGAGUUCUCCCUGACUCCUUGAGAGUCCUGAAGGAACGUUGAAGACGACGACGUUGAUAGGCCGGGUGUGUAAGCGCAGCGAUGCGUUGAGCUAACCGGUACUAAUGAACCGUGAGGCUUAACCUU